CUCCAAUGCGAUAACGGCGGUGAGUUCAUCAACUCCACCCUACGCUACUUCUUCUCCACCCACGACGUCUCCUACCAUUUUUCGUGCCCACACACAUCCCCUCAAAAUGGUAAGGACGAAUGUCUUAUCCGUACCACGAAUGACGUUGUGCGUACCCUCAUCUUCCAAGCCAACCUCACUCCGCCGUUUUGGGUGGAGGCCCUCCACACGGCCACAUACCUCCUCAAUCGCCGACCAUCACGUGCCAUUCAUGGCCAUACACCUUACUAUCGUCUCCACGGCAUUCACCCCACCUAUGAUCACCUUCGAGUCUUUGGUUGCCUUUGCUUCCCAAACCUCUAUGCCACCACUCCUCACAAACUUGCCCCACGGUCUACCCGCUGCGUCUUCUUGGGAUACCCACUCGAACACAAAGGCUACCACCUCUAUGACUUAGAUUCCAGACGCAUCAUCGUUUCUAGUCACGUUGUGUUUGAUGAGACAAUUUUUCCAUAUAUCUCUCCCACAUCACCUACCAGCCCGCCACCUACCACAAAGGAUCCCACGAAUCCCGCUGCAGCUGUGCCUCCCCGAUCCCAACGCACCGGCUGGACCCCACCACCCGUGCGCACCCACACCACCGAGCGAUCCGCCAAUCAUGUCGCCCCACACACCGGCCACCCUAUCUGCCUGCUCCACGUGUUCCACCCCACUGCGCUCCGCCAGCCCGACCGCAUCUACCUCGCCUCCCGCGCCGUCCCCACUUGCUGGGCCGCAGCGCACUACCUCCAACCACAGCGCUGCCACCCGAUCUACCUCGGAUCGUGUGCCUACCUCGUCCACUCCUCCUCUGACCGAAUCUCCCUCGAAUCACACACCCACUUCCGUCCCCGGUGA
rnacentral:rRNA from 1 species